UUGAACGCUGGCGGCAUGCCUUACACAUGCAAGUCGAACGGCAGCACGGGUGCUUGCACCUGGUGGCGAGUGGCGAACGGGUGAGUAAUACAUCGGAACAUGUCCUGUAGUGGGGGAUAGCCCGGCGAAAGCCGGAUUAAUACCGCAUACGAUCUACGGAUGAAAGCGGGGGACCUUCGGGCCUCGCGCUAUAGGGUUGGCCGAUGGCUGAUUAGCUAGUUGGUGGGGUAAAGGCCUACCAAGGCGACGAUCAGUAGCUGGUCUGAGAGGACGACCAGCCACACUGGGACUGAGACACGGCCCAGACUCCUACGGGAGGCAGCAGUGGGGAAUUUUGGACAAUGGGCGAAAGCCUGAUCCAGCAAUGCCGCGUGUGUGAAGAAGGCCUUCGGGUUGUAAAGCACUUUUGUCCGGAAAGAAAUCCUUGGCUCUAAUACAGUCGGGGGAUGACGGUACCGGAAGAAUAAGCACCGGCUAACUACGUGCCAGCAGCCGCGGUAAUACGUAGGGUGCGAGCGUUAAUCGGAAUUACUGGGCGUAAAGCGUGCGCAGGCGGUUUGCUAAGACCGAUGUGAAAUCCCCGGGCUCAACCUGGGAACUGCAUUGGUGACUGGCAGGCUAGAGUAUGGCAGAGGGGGGGUAGAAUUCCACGUGUAGCAGUGAAAUGCGUAGAGAUGUGGAGGAAUACCGAUGGCGAAGGCAGCCCCCUGGGCCAAUACUGACGCUCAUGCACGAAAGCGUGGGGGAGCAAACAGGAUUAGAUACCCUGGUAGUCCACGCCCUAAACGAUGUCAACUAGUUGUUGGGGAUUCAUUUCCUUUAGUAACGUAGCUAACGCGUGAAGUUGACCGCCUGGGGAGUACGGUCGCAAGAUUAAAACUCAAAGGAAUUGACGGGGACCCGCACAAGCGGUGGAUGAUGUGGAUUAAUUCGAUGCAACGCGAAAAACCUUACCUACCCUUGACAUGGUCGGAAUCCCGCUGAGAGGUGGGAGUGCUCGAAAGAGAACCGGCGCACAGGUGCUGCAUGGCUGUCGUCAGCUCGUGUCGUGAGAUGUUGGGUUAAGUCCCGCAACGAGCGCAACCCUUGUCCUUAGUUGCUACGCAAGAGCACUCUAAGGAGACUGCCGGUGACAAACCGGAGGAAGGUGGGGAUGACGUCAAGUCCUCAUGGCCCUUAUGGGUAGGGCUUCACACGUCAUACAAUGGUCGGAACAGAGGGUUGCCAACCCGCGAGGGGGAGCUAAUCCCAGAAAACCGAUCGUAGUCCGGAUUGCACUCUGCAACUCGAGUGCAUGAAGCUGGAAUCGCUAGUAAUCGCGGAUCAGCAUGCCGCGGUGAAUACGUUCCCGGGUCUUGUACACACCGCCC
rnacentral:rRNA from 1 species